rnacentral:rRNA from 1 species
CAGCAGUGGGGAAUAUUGCACAAUGGGCGCAAGCCUGAUGCAGCCAUGCCGCGUGUGUGAAGAAGGCCUUCGGGUUGUAAAGCACUUUCAGUUGUGAGGAAGGUGGUGUCGUUAAUAGCGGCAUCAUUUGACGUUAGCAACAGAAGAAGCACCGGCUAACUCCGUGCCAGCAGCCGCGGUAAUACGGAGGGUGCGAGCGUUAAUCGGAAUUACUGGGCGUAAAGCGCAUGCAGGUGGUUUGUUAAGUCAGAUGUGAAAGCCCGGGGCUCAACCUCGGAACUGCAUUUGAAACUGGCAGACUAGAGUACUGUAGAGGGGGUAGAAUUUCAGGUGUAGCGGUGAAAUGCGUAGAGAUCUGAAGGAAUACCGGUGGCGAAGGCGGCCCCCUGGACAGAUACUGACACUCAGAUGCGAAAGCGUGGGGAGCAAACAGGAUUAGAUACCCUGGUAG